CGGCACGGGUGAGUAACACGUAUGCAACCUGCCUGCCACAGCCGGAUAAUCGGGAGAAAUUCCGUCUAAUACGGCAUAAUGCAUCGACGGGACAUCCUGUUGGUGCCAAGGUUAAUUCCGGUGGCGGAUGGGCAUGCGUCGCAUUAGUUAGUUGGCGGUGUAACGGACCACCAAGACGACGAUGCGUAGGGGUUCUGAGAGGAAGGUCCCCCACCACUGGUACUGAGACACGGACCAGACUCCUACGGGAGGCAGCAG
rnacentral:rRNA from 1 species